rnacentral:rRNA from 1 species
CCUACGGGUGGCAGCAGUGAGGAAUAUUGGUCAAUGGACGCAAGCCUGAACCAGCCAAGUAGCGUGAAGGAUGACUGCCCUACGAGUUGUAAACUUCUUUUGUAAAGUAGUAAAGUGGAGCACGUGUGCCUUUUUGUAUGUACUUUAUGAAUAAGGAUCGGCUAACUCCGUGCCAGCAGCCGCGGUAAUACCGAGGAUCCGAGCGUUAUCCGGAUUUAUUGGGUUUAAAGGGCGCGUUGAUGGGUUGUUAAGUCAGUUGUGAAAGUUUGAGGGUCAAACGUAAAAUUGCAAUUGAUACUGGCAGCUCUGAGGACAGGUGAGGGAGGCGGAAAUCGUGGUG